rnacentral:rRNA from 1 species
UACGAACUGUGCGAACGUUAUUCGGAAUCACUGGGCUUACAGGGUGCGUAGGCGGCUCAACAAGUCAGGUGUGAAAGCCCCCGGCUCAACCGGGGAACUGCGCUUGAAACUGUUAGGCUCGAGUCAGCUAGAGGUACACGGAACUUCCAGUGGAGCGGUGAAAUGUGUUGAUAUUGGAAGGAACCCGGAGGCGAAAGCGGUGUACUGGGGCUGGUCUGACGCUGAGGCACGAAAGCCAGGGGAGCGAACGGG